rnacentral:rRNA from 1 species
AGUAAAUAGAUAUCCAGGUAGUCCACGCCGUAAACGAUGUCGACUUGGAGGUUGUGCCCUUGAGGCGUGGCUUCCGGAGCUAAACGCGUUAAGUCGACCGCCUGGGGAGUACGGCCGCAAGGUUAAAACUCAAAUGAAUUGACGGGGGCCCGCACAAGCGGUGGAGCAUGUGGUUUAAUUCGAUGCAACGCGAAGAACCUUACCUACUCUUGACAUCCAGAGAACUUAGCAGAGAUGCUUUGGUGCCUUCGGGAACUCUGAGACAGGUGCUGCAUGGCUGUCGUCAGCUCGUGUUGUGAAAUGUUGGGUUAAGUCCCGCAACGAGCGCAACCCUUAUCCUUUGUUGCCAGCGGUUAGGCCGGGAACUCAAAGGAGACUGCCAGUGAUAAACUGGAGGAAGGUGGGGAUGACGUCAAGUCAUCAUGGCCCUUACGAGUAGGGCUACACACGUGCUACAAUGGCGCAUACAAAGAGAAGCGACCUCGCGAGAGCAAGCGGACCUCAUAAAGUGCGUCGUAGUCCGGAUUGGA